rnacentral:rRNA from 1 species
GAAUUCGAUUCGGUGUGACAAGGCCCGGGAACGUAUUCACCGCGGCGUGCUGAUCCGCGAUUACUAGCGAUUCCAACUUCACGCAGGCGAGUUGCAGCCUACGAUCCGAACUGAGACCGGCUUUCUCCGAUUAGCUCCACCUUGCGGUAUCGCGACGGUUUGUACCGGCCAUUGUAGCACGUGUGUAGCCCCAGACAUAAAGGCCAUGCUGACUUGACGUCAUCCCCACCUUCCUCCGGUUUAUCACCGGCAGUCUUUGCAGAGUGCCCAGCUUAACCUGAUGGCAACAGCAAACAAGGGUUGCGCUCGUUGCGGGACUUAACCCAACAUCUCACGACACGAGCUGACGACAGCCAUGCAGCACCUCUACGAGUGUCCUUGCGGAAGUUCCCUUUCGGGAAUGGUCACUCGCUGUUCAAGCCUGGGUAAGGUUCUUCGCGUUAAUCACUA